CAAUCUAGUUUUCACGUGCAUUCGGUUGUAAUAUACCAUUUCCUGAUACAUAUUUUCCACCCUCUCUCCCCCCCCACCCGUUUCAAUGUUUGCGCCGCGUAUCCAGACAUCCGAUUUUUGUUGGACCAACAUUGAACUGGGGGAACGGGGGGGCGCUAUUCCUUUCAAAUUAUAUGAAAUUACAGCAGCUGUCCCAUAGUUUCUGGCAAAGAUUGUAG